rnacentral:tRNA from 1 species
GCCGGGGUGGCGAAACUGGCAACCGCGCAUCACUCAAAACGAUGUGGGCGUAAGCCCUUGAGGGUUCGACUCCCUCCCCCGGCACCA